rnacentral:tRNA from 1 species
GUUCUUGUAGUUGAAAACAACGGUGGUUUUUCAAGUCACUGGUCCAGGUUAGAGUCCUGGUAGGAACC